UCUUGGCUUCCUCGACUACAAAUCACACCACUCCUUCAACUUCUCAGUAUACAGAUUGGGAAAAAGAAGCCACAAUGAAUCACACAAAUGGAGGGAUCUCACCUGAAUACACAGAACAAGCAGUUUCUAUAUCACCAGCUGAAACUACUGUGGAACGAGUAUCCAUCACUGCUCAAGAUAGCCCUCAACAAAUUGAAGUACCUAGUUCCAUAACUGAGAUAUCAGAUGAAUCAAAUCAGGAACAAAACACCUCAAAUAAUCAGACAGCUUCUCAAGGUACAUUACCUACUCACCCUAUGAAGACUAGGUCUAAGUCUGGUAUUGUUAAGGUCAAUCCUCGGUAUGCAUGUCUUGCUACAUAUGAAGUACCUC
rnacentral:lncRNA from 1 species